rnacentral:lncRNA from 1 species
CUGGGGAGUCCAGGUGGUGCAGCUCUGGGGAAAAGGCUCAUGUAGUUCCUUCCUUGCCAUUCUAGUGAAGAUCUUGAGCAACAGAAGGCCUGAAGCAAAUACAAAGCACAGGACUUCUGAGCAUGGCAAGAGACCGUGAAGCAGCAGCACAGAGCACCAGUCCUUCGCUGCUAAGUAAGAAAGCCAAGAUUCUUUCACAAGCUCAAGAAGCAUAUUGCUGCUUUCCAAUAGAGCGUUGGUUUGAUGUGGCCUCUGCCUUCUCACUGGCUAAUCGAGCUCCACUGGGACUGGAGAUGGGUUCCAAGAAAGUACAAUUGAUUAGAUGCAUAUUUUCUGAAUUAUACAACAGAUCACACCCAGCUGCACAGCUUUUCUCAGAUAAUCCUUACAGACCAUUAAUGGAUAUCACACCAUGUCUGAGAGUCUUGCUCACUGUUGUUUGUAGUUGCUCCUGCCCUGGAUCAGAGCCCUUUCUAGUCUAUCUGCUCUUCUGAGAGAGAGAGACUGUGCCCUUUGGAACCCUGAGCAGCAUCAUUGCAGGUAUGGAGCCACACUACCAAGUGGAUUUUUUCUGGUGCACAGCAUCAGCCAGGUGUGUUCAGGGCUGCU